GACGAACGCUGGCGGCGUGCUUAACACAUGCAAGUCGAACGGAAAGGCCCUGCUUUUGUGGGGUGCUCGUGUGGCGAACGGGUGAGUAACACGUGAGUAACCUGCCCUUGACUUUGUGAUAACUUCAGGAAACUGGGGCGAAUACCGGAUAUGAGCUCCUGCUGCAUGGUGUGGGUUGGAAAGUUUCGGCGGUUGGGGAUGGACUCGCGGCUUAUCAGCUUGUUGGUGGGGUAGUGGCUUACCAAGGCUUUGACGGGUAGCCGGCCUGAGAGGGUGACCGGCCACAUUGGGACUGAGGUACGGACCAGAAUCGUACGGGAGGCAGCAGUGGGGAAUAUUGCCCAAUGGGCGGAAGCCUGAUGCAGAGACGCCGGGUGCGGGAUGCCGGCCUUCGGGUUGUAAACAGCUUUCGAAUGUGACGAAGCGUGAGUGACGGUAAUGGGUAAAGAAGCCCCGGCUAACUACGUG
rnacentral:rRNA from 1 species